ensembl:lncRNA
CCCACUGAAUCCCCACUAGAAGGCUCAACAUAAAGCUAGGUGGGAAGGCAUGGAAAACCAUCACCAUAGCAAACAAGAGGAUUAACUAACACUAUAUUAGGAUGCAGGGGAGUCGAGAAGAGGCAUCCGAGCCAACUCAUUCCAUAAGUAUCAUAUCUGGUCCUGGAUACAGAGAACAGUCAGAUAUCGUUUGCCCCUCAGGAAGACUCAGCACAAUGAAGAAAGACAAUGAAACAUGGUAUCAAUUAAAGAAGCAGCCAAAGAAUGCCGCCAGGUGGCAGUGUCUGAGACCACUGGGAUUUCCUUCCUGCAGCAAGAGCGAUAAUGGAAAAACACCACUAUGUUAAAGCUCAGCUAGAACGUGACAACCGGCUUCCGAAACGCAAA